rnacentral:rRNA from 1 species
UCUGUGUGUAAGUUUCUAAGGGCACACGGUGGAUGCCUUGGCAUCAGGAGCUGAUGAAGGACGUGGGAAUCU